rnacentral:lncRNA from 1 species
AUGCUUGCAUUCAAUGUUAGUCAAACUCAUUGCAACUUGAUGACUGUUGUUGCUCUCUAGUUGGUCGCUUCCCAGUCUUUUGCUAGCCUUCACUUGUACUAAGCGGAAUACUGCUUGUGCAUCCACUUCCAUAAACCCAAAAGUUUUUCCAUGAGAGUCCACCAUACCUACCUAUUUGCGGUAUCUACCUGUCGUUCCAAGUAAAUUUGCAUGUGCCACUCUC